UCUAUACAUGCAGUCGACGAACUCUGGUAUUGAUUGGUGCUUGCAUCAUGAUUUACAUUUGAGUGAGUGGCGAACUGGUGAGUAACACGUGGGAAACCUGCCCAGAAGCGGGGGAUAACACCUGGAACAGAUGCUAAUACCGCAUAACAACUUGGACCGCAUGGUCCGAGUUUGAAAGAUGGCUUCGGCUAUCACUUUUGGAUGGUCCCGCGGCGUAUUAGCUAGAUGGUGGGGUAACGGCUCACCAUGGCAAUAUACGUAGCCGACCUGAGAGGGUAAUCGGCCACAUUGGGACUGAGACACGGCCCAAACUCCUACGGGAGGCAGCAGUAGGGAAUCUUCCACAAUGGACGAAAGUCUGAUGGAGCAACGCCGCGUGAGGAAGAAGGGUUUCGGCUCGUAAAACUCUGUUGUUAAAGAAGAACAUAUCUGAGAGUAACUGUUCAGGUAUUGACGGUAUUUAACCAGAAAGCCACGGCUAACUACGUGCCAGCAGCCGCGGUAAUACUAGGUGGCAAGCGUUGUCCGGAUUUAUUGGGCGUAAAGCGAGCGCAGGCGGUUUUUUAAGUCUGAUGUGAAAGCCUUCGGCUCAACCGAAGAAGUGCAU
rnacentral:rRNA from 2 species